CAAAUACUCCCUCCGUCCCAAAAUUAUUGUCUUAGAUUUGUCUAAAUAUGGAUGUAUCAAGUCACAUUUUGAUACAUCCGUAUGUUGACAAAUCUAAGACAAGAAUUUUGGGACGAAUGGAGUAGAAU
rfam:Triticum aestivum genome assembly, contig: Triticum_aestivum_CS42_TGACv1_scaffold_177355_2DS